CAGUUUGGGGAGCAAACAGGAUUAGAUACCCUGGUAGUCCAAACCGUAAAUUAUGCUUGCUAGAUGUUUUUAUCAGUUUACUGGUAGGAGUGUCGUAAUCUAACGAGUUAAGCAAGCCGCCUGGGUAGUAUAUUCGCAAGAAUGAAACUCAAAGGGAUAGGCGGGGGAACACACAAGCAGUGGAUUAUCUAGAUUAAUUGGAUAAUAAGCCAAGAAUCUUACCUAGGAUUGACAUGUAUUGUGUCUCAGGUGAAAGCCUGAUAUCCGUAGCAAUACGGAGCUUUACACAGGUGGUGCAUGGUCGUCGUCAGCUCGUGCCGCAAGGUGUCUAGUUAAGUCUGGAAACGAGCGCAACCCUCGUGUUUAGUUAGUAUGUCUAAACAGACUGCUCGGGUAACCGAGAGGAAGGAGAGGAUGACGUCAGAUCCUCAUGCCCCUUACACCUAGGGCCUCAUAGAUAAUACAAUGGGUAGGUACAGCGAGAAGCAAGACCGCGAGGUGGAGCAAAUCUUUAAAACUACCCCUAGUUCGGAUUGUAGUCUGGAACUCGACUACAUGAAGUUGGAAUUGCUAGUAAUGGCAGAUCAGCCAUGCUGCCGUGAAUACGUCCCUGUUCCUUGCACUCACCGCCCGUCAAACCAUGGGAGCUGAGGCUCUUUGAAGACUCAUUAUAUGGGUUAAGGAGGAAAUCAGUGACUGGGGUUAAGUCGUAACAAGGCAUCCCUACCGGAAGGUGGGGAUA
rnacentral:rRNA from 1 species